rnacentral:rRNA from 1 species
GACGAACGCUGGCGGCGUGCUUAACACAUGCAAGUCGAACGGAAAGGCCCUGCUUUUGUGGGGUGCUCGAGUGGAGAACGGGGGAGUAACACGUGAGUAACCUGCCCUUGACGUUGGGAUAACUUCAGGAAACGGGGGCGAAUACCGGAUAGGAGCGCCUGCUGCAUGGUGGGGGUGGGAAAGGUUCGGCGGGUGGGGAUGGACUCGCGGCUUAGCAGCUUGUUGGUGGGGUAGUGGCUUACCAAGGCUUUGACGGAUAGCCGGCCUGAGAGCGUGACCGGCCACAUUCGGACUGAGAUACCGCGCAACCUUCUACGUGAGGCAGCAGUGCGGAAUAUUCCACAGUGGACUGAAGCCUGAUGCAGAAACGCCCUGUGCGGGAUGAAGGCCUUAGAGUUGUAAACCGCUUUCGCCUGUAACGAAGCGUUAGUGACGGUAACGGGUAAAGAAGCACCGGCUCACUACGUG